rnacentral:rRNA from 1 species
AUGGACAGUGGAUUUUCUUCGUCACUUCCUUUGUUCGUGAAGGAGGAGCCCUCCAUGGCGGACGUGUACAGUGGCCACGAGCUGACGCCGCUGCAGAAGCACGCCGCCUUCUUCGACCAGAACAGGGACGACAUCAUCUACCCCUCGGAGACCUACCAAGGGCUGCACGCCAUCGGGUGCGGCGUCGUCGUGUCCACUGCCGGCGCCGUCUUCAUCAACGGCCUCCACGCGCCCACACUACUAGGGAAAAGCCUAUACACAGAAUCUUACCAGCAGCGCGCCUUCAAGUUUCCAAUCUACGUGAAGACCAUCCAGCAGGGCAAGCAUGGGAGUGACACAGACGUGUACGACACCAACGGAAGGUUCGUUCCUGAGAAGUUUGAGGAGAUAUUCAAGAAGCACGCCCACACCAGGCCUGAUGCGCUAACGAGCAAAGAGCUGGGGGAGAUGCUCAAAGCAAACAGGGACCCUAAAGAUUUCAAAGGACGGGUGGGCGCCUUUGGAGAGUGGAGACUUCUCUACUUUCUGUGCAAAGACAAGGAGGGGUUUCUUCACAAGGAGACUAUGAAGGCGGUCUAUGAUGGCAGCGUGUUUGAGAAGUUGGAGCGAGAAAAGAAGCAGGCUAAGGAAUUUGCCAAGAAGAAAUGA